GGAGGGGGCAAGCGUUGUUCGGAAUUACUGGGCGUAAAGGGCGCGUAGGCGGUAUGCCAUGUCAGGGGUGAAAGGCCUGGGCUCAACCCAGGAAUUGCCUUUGAAACUGGCAAACUAGAGUCCGAUAGAGGAUGGCGGAAUUCCCAGUGUAGAGGUGAAAUUCGUAGAUAUUGGGAAGAACACCAGUGGCGAAGGCGGCCAUCUGGAUCGGCACUGACGCUGAGGCGCGAAAGCGUGGGGAGCAAACAGGGAUUAGAUACCCUGGUAGUCCACGCCGUAAACGAUGUGUGCUAGACGUUGGGGGGUCUUAGACCCUGGGUGUCGUAGCUAACGCGUUAAGCACACCGCCUGGGGGAGUACGGCCGCAAGGUUA
rnacentral:rRNA from 1 species